rnacentral:misc_RNA from 1 species
CAAGGAAUGCGUUCAUCAAAGUUCUGUCUGCAUCCUGCAGGAGACACUCCAUCUUCUUGCCGUUUAUUUGAUGCUAUUGUAAGCCAUUGUGUUCCAGUCAUUGUGAGUGAUCAAAUUGAGCUCCCUUAUGAGGAUGACAUUGAUUACAGCCAAUUCUCAGUUUUCUUCUCUAUAAAUGAGGCAAUUCAACCAGGUUACAUGGUUGAUCAACUCCGCCNNNNNNNNGAUGGAUUAAAAUGUGGAAACAGCUUAAGAACAUCUCCCAUCACUUUGAGUUUCAUUACCCACCAGAAAAGGAAGAUGCAGUAGACAUGCUAUGGAGACAGGUAAAGCACAAGCUUCCUGGGGUUCAGCUUGCUGUACAUAGAAGCCGAAGGUUAAAAAUUCCUGAUUGGUGGCAGAGGCGAAGAUGAUUUUGGACAUUCCUUAAAUGAUCCUGUACAUUCAUGAUAUUUUCAUCUCUCGCAAGCAAUAUUUCUUUUGAGAGAAUAAUCAGAGGCAGUUACAAACACCAUCAUAUCAUCUGGAUUCGUAAUUUGGAUAACAUAUACUCUUCGGCAAUACAUCAACAGAGAUUUUUUUUUUGACAGUGAAGACCUUUGGUCUUGUCUGUGGAAGGCUUAGCAAAUUGUUUUUCUUCUUCUUUCAUUAACACUACAGGAGUCACCGAGUAUGUAAUGAGAGUGUAAUGACACACAGCUGUAAUGUAUUCAUUAGAGUUUAGCAAAG